AGCGAGUUCACAGUAAUAUAAGUUAGUACGAGAGGAACACUUAUUUCAGAUAAUUGGUAUUUGCCCCUGUCCGAUCGGGCAAUGGGGCGAAGCUACCAUCUGCUGGAUAAUGGCUGAACGCCUCUAAGCCAGAAUCCGUGCUGGAAGUACUCGAAACUGGUCCCGCACAUGUUACUUGUGUAAGAAUAGACUUCGUGUCGUACACCAUACUUGGCGGGUCUCGGCUUAUUGAACGGAAAGGUUCGAUUUGCUUGCCUGCGUAUUACAAUCGAAAUAUGGGCGGGGAAGAAUCCUUUGCAGACGACUUGAAUGGGAACGGGGUGCUGUAAGCAGUAGAGUAGCCUUGUUGCUACGAUCUGCUGAGGCUAAGCCCUUGUUCUAUAGAUUU
rnacentral:ncRNA from 1 species